rnacentral:rRNA from 1 species
AGAGUUUGAUCCUGGCUCAGGAUGAACGCUAGCGGCAGGCCUAACACAUGCAAGUCGAGGGGCAGCACGUUAAAGAGUUUACUCUUUAUGGUGGCGACCGGCGGACGGGUGCGUAACGCGUAUGCAACCUGCCUGACACAGGGGGAUAAUCCGAAGAAAUUUGGUCUAAUACCCCAUAAUACCGAUAUAGGCAUCUAUGUUGGUUGAAAGCUUUGGUGGUGUCAGAUGGGCAUGCGUUGUAUUAGCUAGUUGGUGAGGUAACGGCUCACCAAGGCGACGAUACAUAGGGGGACUGAGAGGUUAACCCCCCACACUGGUACUGAGACACGGACCAGACUCCUACGGGAGGCAGCAGUGAGGAAUAUUGGUCAAUGGGCGGAAGCCUGAACCAGCCAUGCCGCGUGCAGGAAGACGGCUCUAUGAGUUGUAAACUGCUUUUGUACUAGGGUAAUUUGCGGUACGUGUACCGUAUUGAAAGUAUAGUACGAAUAAGGAUCGGCUAACUCCGUGCCAGCAGCCGCGGUAAUACGGAGGAUCCAAGCGUUAUCCGGAUUUAUUGGGUUUAAAGGGUGCGUAGGCGGUUUGAUAAGUUAGAGGUGAAAUACCGGUGCUUAACACCGGAACUGCCUCUAAUACUGUUGAACUAGAGAGUAGUUGCGGUAGGCGGAAUGUAUGGUGUAGCGGUGAAAUGCUUAGAGAUCAUACAGAACACCGAUUGCGAAGGCAGCUUACCAAACUAUAUCUGACGUUGAGGCACGAAAGCGUGGGGAGCAAACAGGAUUAGAUACCCUGGUAGUCCACGCAGUAAACGAUGAUAACUCGUUGUCGGCGAUACACAGUCGGUGACUAAGCGAAAGCGAUAAGUUAUCCACCUGGGGAGUACGUUCGCAAGAAUGAAACUCAAAGGAAUUGACGGGGGCCCGCACAAGCGGAGGAACAUGUG